GCAGCAUCCCGCAGUGACCGGCGCUGGAUCGUGGGAUGCUCGGCACAGCCCAGCCCUGAACUCCAUAAUGAACAGGAAUUAUCCCUCCUUAAAUCAAGAGAACUGCAACUCAGACUUUUCAGAUAAAACCCUUGGCAGGGAGAAAAGGAGCUGCCAUCAGGUAAAAGCCUUCAAGUGAAACACUGAAAGCACUGGGGAAGGACAAGCAGACACAGGUCCUCUUCAGAUGACACGAAGAUGUUCAGCUCAAGUGACAGCAGCUGAGAACCAAGGGCAGCCCCUGCAGAGGAAGGACAGCAGAGGGCUCAGCCAGGCCAAAUUUAAUGUGAAAAGUAGUGGUUUGUUUGUUUUUCCUGCCCCCCACCAAGUCCAUGUCAGUUUUGUCCCAGCCAGGUGAUCUCCAAGCCCAGCAGGCUCAGCGGUGCUGGAUUUCCACGCUGCUGCCUGAGAGGGGAAGGGCUGGAGCUGAGGGAAGAGUUCCAGUGCUCUGGGUGGCUGUUUCUUGAGAAAACACCAGCAAGCCCAGCAAGUCCUGCCACAUCUCCUGGACUGCACACCAAGACCUCAGGAAGAGAAACCUCAGCAAAGAUCCCAAAGUCACACACACACACAAGGCUUGGCUCAUUAUCCGAACCAGCAGCACUUUGGCCAACUCCUACAGCAACAACCAAACCCCGAGGAAAAACCCCAAGCCCGGCCCUUCCCACACUUGACCUUCCCUUCAGCAAUACAUUAGCCUCCGUGCCCAGGCUGUUUGCUGCUGGAAUUCUGCGAGGGAUGCAGCUGAGUUUAUUGCAGGAGCAGAGGGCUUGGCUCACAGCAUCCCCGGGGCUCCAUCCCCCGCCGCUCUUUAGCUCUGCUUGCCGUGUUUAAUGGACUGGGCUACAAAAAGCUCAGCUGCUGGGAGCCCCCACUGUGGCUUGUAAAAGCCAGCCCCAACAAUGAGCUGCAAACUGGGCCGUGUGGCUUCCCUGCUCUGCUUCCCAAACAGGUUAUUGCUUGUAAAAGCUCUCGCUGGAAGCGGCAGCGCUCCUAGGGCGAGGCAAUGAGGGCUUUGGAGAUGUUCAAUAAAAAGGCCCCCACACUUGAUUCCUUUCCCAAGGAAUAUUUGAUAUUUGUUGCUCUGGGGUGCCUAGAAAGGAAGAAAAUUACUGGCCCAUUAACAACUGCCCCUUGGCCUGUUUUGCCAGAUUUAAAACAAUGCACUCAAAAUUGGCAGUUGAGGCAGCCUUAAACAUUUGUUUUGCCUCAGAUUAUUUGCAACACCCUGUAAACUCAGGGGCUUUUCACUCCCUGGCUGAAGGGAUUUCUCCUAUGUAUUUUUC